rnacentral:rRNA from 1 species
UACGGAAGGUAGCAGUGGGGAAUAUUGCACAAUGGGCGCAAGCCUGAUGCAGCCAUGCCGCGUGUAUGAAAAAGGCCUUCGGGUUGUAAAGUACUUUCAGUCGUGAGGAAGGUGUUAAGGUUAAUAACCUUAGCAAUUGACGUUAGCGACAGAAGAAGCACCGGCUAACUCCGUGCCAGCAGCCGCGGUAAUACGGAGGGUGCGAGCGUUAAUCGGAAUUACUGGGCGUAAAGGGCACGCAGGCGGUUAAUUAAGUUGGAUGUGAAAUCCCCGGGCUUAACCUGGGAAUGGCAUUCAAGACUGGUUAGCUAGAGUCUUGUAGAGGGGGUAGAAUUCCAUGUGUAGCGGUGAAAUGCGUAGAGAUGUGGAGGAAUACCGGUGGCGAAGGCGGCCCCUGGACAAAGACUGACGCUCAUGUGCGAAAGCGUGGGGAGCAAACGAGGGAUUAGAUACC